rnacentral:rRNA from 1 species
CCUACGGGUGACAGCAGUGAGGAAUAUUAGUCAAUGGGAGAGAUCCUGAACCAGCCAAGCCGCGUGAGGGAAGACGGCCCUAUGGGUUGUAAACCUCUUUUGUCGGAGAACAAAACACGGGACGUGUCCCGGACUGCGUGUAUCCGAAGAAAAAGCAUCGGCUAACUCCGUUCCAGCAGCCGCGGUAAUACGGAGGAUGCGAGCGUUAGCCGGAUUUCUUGGGUUUAAAGGGUUCGUAGGCGGUCCGUUAAGUCAGCGGUAAAAUUGCGGGGCUCAACCCUGUCGAGCCGUUGGAACUGGCAGACUUGAGUGGGCGAGAAGUACGCGGAAUGCGCGGUGUAGCGGUGAAAUGCAUAGAUAUCGCGCAGAACUCCGAUUGCGAAGGCAGCGUACCGGCGCCAGACUGACGCUGAGGCACGAAAGCGUGGGGAACGAACAGGAUUAGAUACCCUUGUAGUC